CCUACGGGUGGCAGCAGUGGGGAAUAUUGGACAAUGGGCGAAAGCCUGAUCCAGCCAUGCCGCGUGUGUGAAGAAGGCCUUCGGGUUGUAAAGCACUUUCAGUGGGGAAGAAAGCCUUGGGGCUAAUACCCUCGAGGAAGGACAUCACCCACAGAAGAAGCACCGGCUAACUCCGUGCCAGCAGCCGCGGUAAUACGGAGGGUGCGAGCGUUAAUCGGAAUUACUGGGCGUAAAGCGCGCGUAGGCGGUCUGAUAAGCCGGUUGUGAAAGCCCCGGGCUCAACCUGGGAACGGCAUCCGGAACUGUCAGGCUAGAGUGCAGGAGAGGAAGGUAGAAUUCCCGGUGUAGCAGUGAAAUGCGUAGAGAUCGGGAGGAAUACCAGUGGCGAAGGCGGCCUUCUGGACUGACACUGACGCUGAGGUGCGAAAGCGUGGGUAGCAAACAGGGUUAGAUACCCUGGUAGUC
rnacentral:rRNA from 1 species